rnacentral:rRNA from 1 species
UACGUAGGGUGCGAGCGUUAAUCGGAAUUACUGGGCGUAAAGCGUGCGCAGGCGGCUUUGCAAGACAGAUGUGAAAUCCCCGGGCUCAACCUGGGAACUGCAUUUGUGACUGCAAGGCUAGAGUACGGCAGAGGGGGAUGGAAUUCCGCGUGUAGCAGUGAAAUGCGUAGAUAUGCGGAGGAACAACAAUGGCGAAGGCAAUCCCCUGGGCCUGUACUGACGCUCAUGCACGAAAGCGUGGGGAGCAAACAGG